UUGGAAACGACUGCUAAUACCGCAUAACGUAUCGGGAUGGCAUCUUCCUGAUACCAAAGAUUUUAUCGCUUAGAGAUGGGCUCGCGUCUGAUUAGAUAGUUGGCGGGGUAACGGCCCACCAAGUCGACGAUCAGUAGCCGGACUGAGAGGUUGAACGGCCACAUUGGGACUGAGACACGGCCCAGACUCCUACGGGAGGCAGCAGUGGGGGAUAUUGGACAAUGGGGGCAACCCUGAUCCAGCGACGCCGCGUGAGGGAAGAAGGUUUUCGGAUUGUAAACCUCUGUUGACGGAGAAAAAAAUGAUGGUAUCCG
rnacentral:rRNA from 1 species